GAUGAACGCUGGCGGCAUGCCUAAUACAUGCAAGUCGAACGAGAGGAAGGAAAGCUUGCUUUUCUGAAUCUAGUGGCGAACGGGUGAGUAACACGUAGGUAACCUGCCCAUGUGCCCGGGAUAACUUCUGGAAACGGAUGCUAAAACCGGAUAGGUAACAGACAAGCAUUUGACUGCUAUUAAAGUGGCUACGGCCAUGAACAUGGAUGGACGUGUGGUGCAUUAGCUAGUUGGUGAGGUAACGGCCAACCAAGGCGACGAUGAAUAGCCGGCCUGAGAGGGCGGACGGCCACAUUGGGACUGAGACACGGCCCAAACUCCUACGGGAGGCAGCAGUAGGGAAUUUUCGUCAAUGGGGGGAAACCUGAACGAGCAAUGCCGCGUGAGUGAGGAAGGUCUUCGGAUCGUAAAGCUCUGUUGUAAGAGAAAAACGACAUUCAUAGGGAAUGAUGAGUGAGUGAUGGUAUCUUACCAGAAAGUCACGGCUAACUACGUGCCAGCAGCCGCCGUAA
rnacentral:rRNA from 1 species